ensembl:lncRNA
AAAAAAACCUUACAAGGAGACCUGGAAAUGAUACAGACUUCUGCAGAACAUCAAAUAAGACCCACAUAGCUUGGCUAUGACCGGGACUUCCCAUGCUACUUUGACUACCAAUAGUCUCAUUAUUUUAUCCUGUUGUUAUUUUAGGCAUGCUGGGAAAAAGUCUGACAGUGGGUUGUACCGUAUGUUGGACUUUCUUGGUGGGCAUCACAUUGGCUACAGCAUGGAAUUGUUCAUUACAGGGGAGGCAUAAUGGUGCAUUCGCCUGGAGACUGGCAAACACACCUGUGAUUGGUGAGAUUACUGGAAUAACAUUGCUGCACCCAUAGAAGGCCCGACUCUCAGUCUCCGUUUAUUGCGCAAACGAUUUCAUGGCCAUAUCUGCCGUUUGUUUGCAUUGGCCCGUGUAAAAUCAUAUCUUGUGUGGGGAUGGAUUACACAACGGAGCCAGUAUGUGUCAUAUUAAGCAAGAUAUCAAAACAGCACUAGGUAAGAAACCAAAUAGUGGUGAUUGUUUCCAAGAGUUCUUAUGAUUAAUCCAGACUUGUAAUGCUGAUUCAUAUCUUUUAGGAAUUUCUCUCAGUCUGCUGGCAGAACCAUCGCCAACCGCUCUCACCUCCGGGUUUGUUUGCGGUCUGGAUGGAUACUCAUCAAUGCAGGAGCCCUAUAGACUAAAAAGUGACUGGGCUUGAUUUGUACUUCCCUCUUGACAAAUGACAUAAAUACACAUUAAGCAGUGAAAGCGUUUGUCUUAGGAACUCUUUAAAACACCUCCAAACCAAGAAAUGCUCCACAAAACAACAAAGACGUUGCAGUGCUUGUUAAGCUUGGACGGGGAGUGGGGUGCAGAGGCAUUGAGUCUGGUUGAGGUUUUGGAUGGGAGUAGAGGAACUCUGGCCACAUGAAGACGCCCAGUCGCUUGCUCUCAGAGAUUUUGACUUUGUGAUUUCUCACGUCAUUGCUCAAUCGCACACCCACACCCUUCACGUUGGGGCAGGCCGUCUGGUACGCACUUUGCUCUAGACCACAGCUCAGUGGGCCCUGCAGGGUCUGCGGCGCUGGUCGCUCUCUGGCAUAAAUCAACACAAGUCAUUCUGAUGAAGAUAGAGUGGGAAAAGGCCUUGUGAAAGAAGAAACGCUGUAAAAGGCCCUGGUUUCUGGAAUUGUUCUCUAAUUAAAACAAUUUUCCUUUGGCAUUUUGGGAUACAAAAACUACUUUCAUUCUAAUAAAUUCAAAUGAGAGGAAAGAAGCA